AUUAAACUGAAGAGUUUGAUCCUGGCUCAGAUUGAACGCUGGCGGCAUGCUUUACACAUGCAAGUCGAACGGCAGCACGGGGGCAACCCUGGUGGCGAGUGGCGAACGGGUGAGUAAUGCAUCGGAAC
rnacentral:rRNA from 1 species